GCAGCAGUUUCUUGGCAGUCAGAAUUUCUGAUAAUGACAAGCGUUCACAAUAGUGUGCUUUGUUUACAUAAAACGCGUUCUUAUCUGCACGCCUUCCUGUGGUUAUGACAACAGUCAGAAUUGUAGGAAUGAUUUAAAAAGUGGGUAGGACACAUCUUAUUGCAUAUGGGAUAAAUAAAGUAGAAAUAGCUCUAAGUUAACAACUGCAUAAAUGGAGGAAGCCUCCACAGGAGUUCACUUGCCUACAGGCAAUGUUAAACGGGGAAAAUAAUAUUGAAAAAUUAUUUAAUUUUAUGUAAAAAAAAAUUAUUUUAAAUCCCACGACUUUAAAAAGACAAAUUCCUCUAAGUAAGAAUCAUCGACCAGGCAAAAGCAGAGCGCGAGCGCUUGAGCAACGCACUGCCAACUUGCUAUCAGGUGGUACAUACGUCACGUGCGCGGACGUUAGAGUUACUUUCAGGUGUCGACUUCAGGCUACUGUUGUAGUUAAUGCAGCCUUUCUAAAACCAAGGACUGGGCCUUCAAACUCCACAUCAGAGGUUUAAGCGAAUGGAAUACUGCACCCUACCUGAGAUCGGGAUUCAACAGAGCAUCCAUUUUGAGGCAGAUCUGAUGCUGAGCAGCUUGAAGGAAGCUGCAACACUGGGGCAAACCAACUCAGAGAAUUAUGCUCUUUGACAAAAUGUCA